GGGUGCAGCAGGCGCGAAAACUUUGCAAUGCGGGAAACCGUGACAAGGGAACUCUGAGUGCCCGUAAAAUCGGGCUGUCCAUCGGUUUAAAUAACCGGUGAAGAAAGGGCCGGGCAAGACCGGUGCCAGCCGCCGCGGUAAUACCGGCGGCUCGAGUGGUGGCCACUAUUACUGGGCUUAAAGCGUUCGUAGCUGGUUUGUUAAGUCUCUGGGGAAAUCUUCCGGCUUAACCGGAAGGCGUCUCAGGGAUACUGGCAGACUAGGGACCGGGAGAGGUGAGAGGUACUCCAGGGGUAGGAGUGAAAUCCUGUAAUCCUUGGGGGACCACCUGUGGCGAAGGCGUCUCACCAGAACGGCUCCGACAGUGAGGGACGAAAGCUGGGGGAGCAAACCGGAUUAGAUACCCGGGUAGUCCCAGCUGUAAACGAUGCGCGUUAGGUGUAUCAGUGACCACGAGUCACUGAGGUGCCGAAGAGAAAUCGUGAAACGUGCCGCCUGGGAAGUACGGUCGCAAGGCUGAAACUUAAAGGAAUUGGCGGGGGAGCAC
rnacentral:rRNA from 1 species